UACGGGGGGGGCAAGCGUUGUUCGGAAUUACUGGGCGUAAAGGGCUCGUAGGCGGCCAACUAAGUCGGAUGUGAAAUCCCCAGGCUUAACCUGGGAACUGCAUCCGAUACUGGAUGGCUUGAAUCCGGGAGAGGGAUGCAGAAUUCCAGGUGUAGCGGUGAAAUGCGCAGAUAUCAGGAAGAACACCAAUUGCGAAGGCAGCUCGCUGGAACGUAACUGACGCUGAGACGCGAAAGCGUGGGGAGCAAACAGG
rnacentral:rRNA from 1 species